rnacentral:rRNA from 1 species
AUGAACGCUGGCGGCGUGCCUAAUACCUGCAAGUCGAGCGAACAGACGAGGAGCUUGCUCCUCUGACGUUAGCGGCGGACGGGUGAGUAACACGUGGAUAACCUACCUAUAAGACUGGGAUAACUUCGGGAAACCGGAGCUAAUACCGGAUAACAUGUUGAACCGCAUGGUUCAACAGUGAAAGACGGUUUUGCUGUCACUUAUAGAUGGAUCCGCGUCGCAUUAGCUAGUUGGUAUGGUAACGGCUUACCAAGGCAACGAUGCGUAGCCGACCUGAGAGGGUGAUCGGCCACACUGGAACUGAGACACGGUCCAGACUCCUACGGGAGGCAGCAGUAGGGAAUCUUCCGCAAUGGGCGAAAGCCUGACGGAGCAACGCCGCGUGAGUGAAGAAGGUCUUCGGAUCGUAAAACUCUGUUAUUAGGGAAGAACAAAUGUGUAAGUAACUAUGCACGUCUUGACGGUACCUAAUCAGAAAGCCACGGCUAACUACGUG